rnacentral:rRNA from 1 species
AGCAGCCGCGGUAAUUCCAGCUCCAAUAGCGUAUAUUAAAGUUGUUGCAGUUAAAAAGCUCGUAGUUGAAUUUCGAGACCGGCUUACUGGUCGUGCUUUUGUGCGUACUGGUAUAAUCGGUUUCUCCUUUCUGACGAACUUUAAUGCCAUUAAUUUGGUGUUUUAGGGAAUCAGGACUGUUACUUUGAAAAAUUAGAGUGUUUAAAGCAGGCUCACGCUUGAACACAUUAGCAUGGAAUAACGGAAUAGGACGUUUGAUUCUAUUUUGUUGGUUUCUAGGAUCGACGUAAUGAUUAAUAGGGAUAGUUGGGGGCAUUAGUAUUCAAUUGUCAGAGGUGAAAUUCUUGGAUUUAUUGAAGGCUAACUACUGCGAAAGCAUUUGCCAAGGAUGUUUUCAUUAAUCAAGAACGAAAGUUAGGGGAUCGAAGACGAUCAGAUACCGUCGUAGUCUUAACCAUAAACUAUGCCGACUA